AGACCCGAAACCCGGUGAUCUAGCCAUGGGCAGGUUGAAGGUUGGGUAACACUAACUGGAGGACCGAACCGACUAAUGUUGAAAAAUUAGCGGAUGACCUGUGGCUGGGGGUGAAAGGCCAAUCAAACCGGGAGAUAGCUGGUUCUCCCCGAAAGCUAUUUAGGUAGCGCCUCGUGAAUUCAUCUCCGGGGGUAGAGCACUGUUUCGGCUAGGGGGCCAUCCCGGCUUACCAACCCGAUGCAAACUGCGAAUACCGGAGAAUGUUAUCACGGGAGACACACGGCGGGUGCUAACGUCCGUCGUGAAGAGGGAAACAACCCAGACCGCCAGCUAAGGUCCCAAAGUCAUGGUUAAGUGGGAAACGAUGUGGGAAGGCCCAGACAGCCAGGAUGUUGGCUUAGAAGCAGCCAUCAUUUAAAGAAAGCGUAAUAGCUCACUGGUCGAGUCGGCCUGCGCGGAAGAUGUAACGGGGCUAAACCAUGCACCGAAGCUGCGGCAGCGAACGUAUCACCCAAGACAACUUUACGGAGUUGACGAUUGACGGAGCGAAGCGACGUCAAAGCGUUCAUUAAAGUCGAGUUGGCUUAGGGAUACGUUCGUUGGGUAGGGGAGCGUUCUGUAAGCCUGUGAAGGUGUGUCGUGAGGCAUGCUGGAGGUAUCAGAAGUGCGAAUGCUGACAUAAGUAACGAUAAAGCGGGUGAAAAGCCCGCUCGCCGGAAGACCAAGGGUUCCUGUCCAACGUUAAUCGGGGCAGGGUGAGUCGACCCCUAAGGCGAGGCCGAAAGGCGUAGUCGAUGGGAAACGGGUUAAUAUUCCCGUACUUGGUGUUACUGCGAAGGGGGGACGGAGAAGGCUAUGU
rnacentral:rRNA from 1 species